GCGGCGUGCCUAAUACAUGCAAGUCGAGCGGACAGAUGGGAGCUUGCUCCCUGAUGUUAGCGGCGGACGGGUGAGUAACACGUGGGUAACCUGCCUGUAAGACUGGGAUAACUCCGGGAAACCGGGGCUAAUACCGGAUGCUUGUUUGAACCGCAUGGUUCAAACAUAAAAGGUGGCUUCGGCUACCACUUACAGAUGGACCCGCGGCGCAUUAGCUAGUUGGUGAGGUAACGGCUCACCAAGGCAACGAUGCGUAGCCGACCUGAGAGGGUGAUCGGCCACACUGGGACUGAGACACGGCCCAGACUCCUACGGGAGGCAGCAGUAGGGAAUCUUCCGCAAUGGACGAAAGUCUGACGGAGCAACGCCGCGUGAGUGAUGAAGGUUUUCGGAUCGUAAAGCUCUGUUGUUAGGGAAGAACAAGUACCGUUCGAAUAGGGCGGUACCUUGACGGUACCUAACCAGAAAGCCACGGCUAACUACGUGCCAGCAGCCGCGGUAAUACGUAGGUGGCAAGCGUUGUCCGGAAUUAUUGGGCGUAAAGGGCUCGCAGGCGGUUCCUUAAGUCUGAUGUGAAAGCCCCCGGCUCAACCGGGGAGGGUCAUUGGAAACUGGGGAACUUGAGUGCAGAAGAGGAGAGUGGAAUUCCACGUGUAGCGGUGAAAUGCGUAGAGAUGUGGAGGAACACCAGUGGCAAAGGCGACUCUCUGGUCUGUUACUGACUCUGAGGAGCGAAAACAUGAGGAGCGCACCCGAUUAGAUACCCUGGUUCUCCACGCCCUAAACGAUGAGCGCUACUCGUGGAGGGGUUCC
rnacentral:rRNA from 1 species